UACGUAGGGCGCGAGCGUUGUCCGGAAUUAUUGGGCGUAAAGAGCUCGUAGGCGGCUUGUCACGUCGGGUGUGAAAGACCGGGGCUUAACUCCGGUUCUGCAUUCGAUACGGGCUAGCUAGAGUGUGGUAGGGGAGAUCGGAAUUCCUGGUGUAGCGGUGAAAUGCGCAGAUAUCAGGAGGAACACCGGUGGCGAAGGCGGAUCUCUGGGCCAUUACUGACGCUGAGGAGCGAAAGCGUGGUGAGCGAACAGG
rnacentral:rRNA from 1 species